rnacentral:rRNA from 1 species
GAUGAACGCUGGCGGCGUGCCUAAUACAUGCAAGUCGAGCGGACAGACGAGGAUCUUGCUCCUCGCUCGUUAGCGGCGGACGUGUGAGUAACGCGUGGAUAACCUACCUAUAAUACUGGGAAAACCUCGGGAAUCCGGAUCAUAUCCCGUAUAAGAUAUUGAUCCGUAGGGUUCAUUAGUGAAUUACGGUGUUGGUGUUGCUUAUAGUUGGUUCCGCGCUGCAUUAGCUGGUUGGGAAGGUAACGGCUUAGCAAGGCGACGAUGCGUAGCCGACCUGAGAGAGUGAUCGGCCACAUUGGAACUGAGACACGGUCCAGACUCCUACGGGAGGCAGCAGUAGGGAAUCUUACGCAAUGGGCGAAAGCAUGACGGAGCAACGCCGCGUGAGUGAUGAAGGUCUUCGGAUCGUAAAACUCUGUUAUUAGGGAAGAACAAAUGUGUAAGUAACUAUGCACGUCUUGACGGUACCUAAUCAGAAAGCCACGGCUAACUACGUG